AUGAUGUCGAGAAAUUUGGUGUUGCUGAUGCAAGGGGGCGAACUUGAUGGCUUAAAAAACAUUGGGAGAAGGAGACAAUUUAAAAAGUUAUUUCGAUCUGAAGCUGGGUUGUCACUCGGAAGGCAGUUGCAGAGGGAUUAUGUUCGGGUUGUUUCUGGUUUGGGGCAGCAGUAUAAUUUUGGAGCUUUAUGCUUGGAUAGAGACAAGGCUUGGUGUGGACAUCAAUGA